UAUUUUCUCAGUUGAAGGGUUUUCAAACCCUAGCGCCGCCUUAAGGUGACUUCCUCUCUCCUACGUGGUUCGCCAUAUUUGGCAAACUUUCAGAGUGCCACAAGCAUGGCACAGUCGUGGUGGGUUCUUUUUGAGGAAAAACAUUUAAUGCUUCUUCUUCUUUCAUCAAAAAUCAAGCCAAAUGAGAUUUUGAGCCAAAGACGUCUUCCAGACCUCGCAUCUAGUUGAGGUCAUUCGUUACCAAGAUCAGAGGAUGGUGAGGACUCGUGCGAAUGCAGCAACGAACGCAACACCAGAGCAGGCCGCUGGGGUCACAGCUCGUGGAGGAGGAGGCCAGGCCAGGGGCCAUGGCAGAAGUAGGGGCCGGGGGGCUGCUGCACCAGCUUCGCUAAAUAUUAUUGCUACCCAGUGCUGUCAGAUGUUAUGGUCCGACUGUUUGACCUGUUGAAUGGUUUAGGAGAGGCAGGUGUGUUACCAGCAGCAGUAGGCAAUCUGUUAUAUCCCGUAUUUUUGCACAUUCGGAUAAUUUGAGAUAAUUGUGACUAGUAAGAGAUAAGGCAAUAUUUUGAUCUUAUUUAAUACAUAAGUUGUUCAUGAAAAUAUUGAUGCGGAAAUAUUGAGGAAGACUAAGGGCAAAAUUCGAAAUUUGGAAACUAGUUUCAUGAAUUACAAAUUAGUCAUGAAAAAUAAUUGGGCUUGGAAGAAACAAAAAAAAAAAAUUGGUCUUGAAACCAAAGGCCCAAGGUGGCCG